AUCUUCAUGAAGGUCGUCAAAUAGUAGGUGUCAUGAUUUAAUUCUGGGUGGCCGCUGUGUCCCCACUCUUUCUUGGCCGCUGUGCCUACAUCUAUCUGCAUUGUCCAACAUGGCCACGUUCUUUCUAUUCUCCUGCUUUCCAUCUGUCAAAUAGCUGAGGGUUGUACAUGGAGCAUUUGCCACAGGUUGGUUUUGUAUGUUCCUGUCCACUUUAUUAGGUGGUCUGAAAUCUGGUCCUUGUUGGUUAUAUUUUUGUGCAACUGCUGAGAGUGAUUUGAAAGAAUGAGGUGACUGAUGGAGUGUGUGAAAUUCUCUCUGAAUGAAUGGGUUGUGUGUGACUGAGAUGCCUGGAUUGAAUAGUUAAGAUGGUCUGAGAAUAUGAUUAUGUUCAGCAGUUCACAUUAAAGUAGAUAUGGUGUCUUGAAGGGCUUAGAUGCUUGAUAAGUUAUAAUGCACUAACAUUUACUUUUUAGGUCUGUCUACAAAGGGUGAGUCCAUAUUUUAUUUCUUUUGCAGAGUAGGGGAAUAAACCAAAGAAAACGUGUCUUGUGUUUUUUGAAAGUGAAGGUACUUAGGUGUUGGCAGCUGACUAGCUAGUCUAGCUGCCCACAGCUAACUACCGAAUCACACUGACUUGAUUUGCAUGCAAAGUUAAGAACACGUCUCUCUAUGGAGGCGUUUUCUUGCCUUGCCACUGUGCCCUUAACAACUUUUUCUUUCCAACUGUUUCUUAGGACGGUAAGUGACACGCAGGCCGCGGGCCAUCGCUCUUACGGCCGCCGUGUCGAUCUGUCCUGGCCCUCCUCGUGCCUUUCCUCACUUUAAUGAAAACGUGUCUCUAAAAGGAAAAAAAAAAAUCAACUUGAACUGUUUUCUUUAGCACUAAAAUAUAGUGAUGUUGGAGGACCAGAUCUUAAAUGAGGUUUAAAUGGAUGUUGGUGUACAGUUAAAGCUAGAUGGUAGGAAUAAAAUUAAUGUUGUGCCUUGUACACUCUGUCACAAGGCUUAGACUUCUUGGCCGCUGUGCCUUUGUUUUUCUCUUUUCCAUCGUGGCCAUUAAUCUACCGUUAGCCCUAGAACGUUAAAAUAGAUCCUGGUGAUCUACAAACAGUACCUGGCUUUGGAUGGCAGCUGUGCCAUUGCCUUUGUAUUGCCAUACGUCCCUUAAUGCAAGUAGGCAAUGAUUGCUAACUGUGCCCGCGCCUUCAUGGUCUACUUGUGUUAUUGUACGUCUGGCCUUGCGCGUAUAGUCAUUUUACAUAGGCAAACAUGGGUGCCUUCCGCGUCCAUGCACAGUAAGUGAACUAACCUGUACUUUUCUUUUAGCAUCAAUCAAGAGGAGCACCGACAUCACUGCAUGUCCACCCCAAUUAGAUUGCGUUUUAGUUAAGGUAAAAUUUCAAAUGUUAAGUGCAGUUUUUCUUUCUUGGCCGCUGUGCCAUUACUAUACCUGCUCUGACCUGAAUCUUGAUUCUUCAUGGCCAUUGUGUCAUGACUGUACUUGGUCUUGGUGUUUAUGCCAGUCUAUAAUUUCUGAUCUGUUUUUCAUACUAAGUUUUCCUGUGUGUGUGUGUGUGUGAUGACUGACUUGGGGUGUGUGAGAUGACUAACUUGGAGUGUGUGUGAGAGAUGACUGACUUGGAGUGUGUGUGUGAGAUGACUGACUUGGAGUGUGUGUGUGUGUGAGAGAUGACUGACUUGGAGUGUGUGUGUGAGAUGACUGACUUGGAGUGUGUGUGUGAGAUGACUGACUUGGAGUGUGUGUGUGUGAGAUGACUGACUUGGAGUGUGUGUGUGUGUCUGUGUGAUGACUGACUUGGAGUGUGUGUGUGUGUCUGUGUGAUGACGGACUUGGAGUGUGUGUGUGAGAUGACUGACUUGGAGUGUGUGUGUGAGAUGACUGACGUUUAUCUGACCUUUGGACCAAGACUAACACUCCAAUUGACUUUACUGCACCAGAAAGGUGAACAUUUAUGCUGCAAGAUGUACACCAAUUAGACAACAAGCAAAGUCCAAUUCUUUCAAAAACUGGUACAUUUUUAUCUUUCAGGUAAGUAUUAAAGGCCUUUGCCACAUGAUCUUUGUGGGUAAAUCGUGUCCACUCGAUUUAAAAAGUUAAUUUGCAUCUAAACAUUUACAAUGCCUGACACAAUGGCAUUACAAUCUAAUUUUUUUGUUUUGCGUUACUGAGCGCAACGGCCUUUAUUUACACACUGAUGCAUGCCAAGACUGCUGUCAUGGCAUGUGUCACUGUCUCUCUCUCGCUGUUCUGUCUGUCUCUCUCUUGCUGUUCUGUCUGGUCUCUGUCUGUCUUGUGUGUCUGGUCUCUGUCUGUCCUGUGUGUCUGGUAUCCAUCUGUCCUGUGUUGGAUUUAGUCGCUUUUUUAGCCUCAACUUAAAUGGAUGAUUUUAAAGUUGAUUAGUCUUGAGGCGUCUGAUUUCUGCAGGUAAUUGUGGUACCUUAUUUUGAAAUGGCUUUAAUUUAGAAAUGUAAUUUUCCUCUUGAAUCUCAGUUAUAGUUGCAACUUGGAAUGUUGACAAAUGUAGAAGCUGAUGAAUCAUGUAGUAAAUGCUUCAAAGUUUACUGUAGCUUGUCUAAACUUCAAAGUACUGUAAAAAUGUCAUAAUUGAUUAUGAUGAGCUAUACCAGGUCUUUUAUUCUCAACUGGUAAUUGCUUUGAUAAGAUAGCUGGUUCCUGAUUUGAUUAUGAAGCUAAACUUUUGAUUUAUAUGCAAGUGUAGUCACACUAGAUUGUAGGUGUUAUUCAGCCCAUGGAUAAUGUUAUGAUAUACUUUAAAUUUGGCAUUUGUUGGCACACUUUUUAUAUCCAUUUAAGUCUUAAACUUUACGCACUGCCAUCAGCCUUUGUAGUCGCUAACUGAAAUCAAAUUCAAUAUUAAUGCUGACUUGUCUUACGCUGCCAAGUUUAUUUCCCUCUAAAGGAGUUGAACCUUUUUGUGUUCAUAGUCUUUUUGCGCGUCAUGUUGGGAGGCCUCCCAGCAGGGGAUUUUUAUCUUCCCCUGCAGAACUAUGCGUUGCACACCUUAGAGAUGCAGGGCUAUCCUGCAUAGUUUCUUUCAUAAAUGAGAUUGUAGGUUGCAGGAUUAGAGCGUGUUUCUUUUCUGAAGAAGGACACAAACCUGGCAGAGAGACAACUCGGAUUAUUUAAGUGAAAGUUGCGCCAAAUUAUCAAACUUUUUAUCUUUCAAUAAGAUGACUUGAAAUAAAACUUUUAUUCUGUGGGCUGAAUUCAGACAGAAAUCAGACAGAAUUUGGCUUAAUGUUAAAGACGGUUGUGCAAGUACCCUCUUAUAGCAGGAGUGAGCAGCUGCAGCUUUUUAAUUUAUUUUUUGUUAUUUGAUUUGUUUCUUGGAUUGACUUGGUGUCUGGAGCUUUGUGGUUAACAGUGAUCAUGUAAAUGUGUAAACACAAGUGGUCUUUUGACUAUUAUUUGCGAAGCUGGCAGCUGGUUGAAAUGGUAGGACUUUAUGGCUUGCCCAAAGUGGGAUUUUUGAUAGAGCAUAGGGUUAACACCUCACCAUAUACUAGCGUUUUCAGCAAACAAGUGUCUGUAGUCUGUUAUUACCAUGACUUUCUUUCAAAUUUCACAAUUUAGGCAGCUUGUAGAGUCAUUAGGAAGAUGCUUAAUCCCAAUGUCUUGGUUGGUUGCAUGAGAAACUGCUAUCUCUUAGAUGUGUUGGCGAAGUUCCUCUUCCGAUUUUUGUAGACUUGCCCUAAAGUUUCUCUCCGCUUUAACUCUUGUUGAGCUAUGCAUUAAAUGAUUCCUCCAACUUGUCUCCAUAUCAAUUUUUUUCUCCCUGCAGCCUUCCACCACCCACUGCUGCUGUUGCAUCUGCUAAAGGUAGCCGUAUCCUGAUUCACUGCAUCUUCAUGUGUUGGGUAAGAAGUGUCAUUGGACUACUAACAAUGUAAACACCUUUUAAAUGCUUGAUCUAAUUUACCAAAAUGGUUCAUCAGUUUAGGACAGAAAAUCAUUGACUUUGACAUUCUUGGGGUCAGUAACCUGACCUCUAAAUGUUUGGGAAACCAUGCAUAAGAUUGCAAGCUCUCUGCAUGACCCAACAGCAUUGAUAUUUGAGUAAAUUAAUUGCUCAAUUUUUAAAUCAGUCAAGAUUUUAUGAGCUGGGUCUUCUUCACACAACAGAGAACAAGGUAAAUUGAGUCGACUCGUAACAUGGUAAGGCAUUUCAUCCUUCCCCUUCUUCUCUGUGUGUGAGGAAAUCUGGCCACGGAUCCUGACUGAGUGGCAUACUGUGGCUGUGCAGUUUCCAAAAUCAGACAAGGAUCCAUCUGAUUUUGUGACUCGGCCUGUCAUGAUAUGCAUUUAUCUUCUUCCGAAACAAAGGAUUGGAAUGGACAGGUUUGUAGUACAACACAUCACUUGUAGGUGGUGAAGCAUUUGUUUAAAUUGGGGUCAAGCAUUUUAAGGCGUCUGCUUUGUCAAUACUCUGGUGCCACGUCUUGCUAAACACACAAGAAGCUCUGAAUUGUGAAACUGCUGCCUCUUGCAGAUGUUACAACAGCAAUGACUGUUGAAAGGCUGCAGGGAGAGAAAACGAGAUCUGAGGACAGGAAAGUGGAAUUGAUUUCAUGCUUAGUUAAAUGAGGGUUUCAGCAGAGGACCUUUUUGUGGCGAGGCUACAGAAUCAGAAGGAACAUUUGUCUGGGCAACUGGGAGAUUUACAGUUUUUCAUGCAGCCAACCAAGACAUUGGGGUUAGCAUCAUCCCAAUUGGCUGGCAAAGAUUGCUUGUUACUGUCAGUGUAGGACAGGAAAGGCAGGUAUAGGUUAGGGAGUGCAUCCAUCGGUGAGCUUUGACUGGAUGUGAGGACCUGUCACACUUGACCAGAUGGAGGCUGCAGCACAUUCCUGGGUCAGAGGACUCCAUGUUGGACACCACGACCUGGAGAAUUCCUGUCCUGGAUGGCUGCAGUGAUGACCUAGCCCAAGAUGAACCGACUCUUCUACGACAAGGACUUUGCCCAAGAUGAACCAACCUUUUCCACGGGAUGUCUUCAGAUGUUGGACCUUGCCAAACUGUACACAUGCUUCAAUGGCUGCUACGUCACUCUGCCCAAUAGGACAUGGUCACUGAGAUUUUAAAAAAAUGUUUUAAAUGGACUUUAACCCCCCCUGUCCCCACUGACCCACAACCACACAUGACAAAACACUGUACAUGUGAUGCAUCACCACACUAAAGUACAGACACUGCUACUUUCAGCCUGUUUCAGUCUGUAAAAGAUCGCAAGUCCUCUGCAUGACCCAACAGCAUCGAUGUUUGAGUUAUUUAAUUGCUCAAUUUUUAAAUCAGUCAAGAUUUUAUGAGCUGGGUCUUCUUCACACAACAGAGAACAAGGUAAAUUGAGUCGACUCGUAACAUGGUAAGGCAUUUCGUCCUUCCCCUUCUUCUCUGUGUGUGAGGAAAUCUGGCCACGGAUCCUGACUGAGUGUCAUACCAUGGCUGUGCAGUUUCCAAAAUCAGACAAGGAUCCAUCUGAUUUUGUGACUCAGCCUGUCAUGAUAUGCAUGUAUCUUCCUCCGAAACAAAGGAUUGGAAUGGACAGGUUUAUAGUGUAAAUCACAUCACUUGAUGGUGUACAUACACUGCUACUUUCAGCCUAUAAUGUUUGACAUUGAAAACUUGUAUUUAUUGCCUUCUUUAUAUUAAGUAAAACUUUUGUUC